UCGUAUAAAGUUCUAGGUAGAAUAAUGAUAAUGACAAUUUUCUAUCUAUAAGUCUUGGCCAAAUUACGUGCCAGCAGUCGCGGUAAUACGUAGAAGACUAGUGUUAUUCAUCUUUAAUAGGUUUAUAGGGUACCUAGACGGAAAAUCAAGCCUACAUCGGUACUAAUUUUCUAGAGUUUUAUGUGAAAAGGUCGAAUUACCAGAGGAGAGUCAAAAUUCUGUUAUACUGGUAGGACGGACAACGGCGAAGGCAACCUUUUAUGUAAUAACUGACGUUGAGGGACGAAGCCUUGGGUAGCAAUAAGGAUUAGAUACCCUAGUAGUCCUUGGAGACAAUUAUGAGUGCCAUAUAUAAAUGAAAGUGUAAGCAUUCCACCUCAUGAGUAAAGCGGCAACGCCCAAAUUGAAAUCAUUAGCCCGUUUCUGAAACCAGUAGUGAAGUAUGUUAUUUAAUUCGAUGACCCGCGAACAACCUUACCACGCAAGCGCUGCACGGCUGUCUUCAGUUAAUAUCGUGAGAUUCUGGUUAAUUCCUUCAAUUAACGAAAACCC
rnacentral:rRNA from 1 species